GUGGAGUGGGAUUUGGUUCACGAGAAGGGUCAAACCGAGGAGAAGUCCGAAGAAAUAGAAAAGUUAAAGAAGGAUCUGAAAGAGAGCUCAGAAAGGCUGGCCAUAGCAGAGGAGGGCUGGGUAAGAGAGUUACGUCGUGCUGAUCUUGCAGAAGAUGAUUGCCGUGUGAAGAAGGCUAAACUUGAGGAGACGUACUCUACACUUCAAAAUGCAAUGG
rnacentral:lncRNA from 1 species